UGCCCAGCAUCUCCUAUCCCUACCUCCUCGCGGUACUGGCCGGGGUACGAGUAACCUUAGGGAAGAUCGGGUAACCAACCCCCGGUGGGAACUUUGGUCGUAUGCUGACAGGGAAGG
rnacentral:ribozyme from 1 species